GCAAGUCGAGCGAGAAGGUAAUGACUGAUUCUUCGGAUGAAGGAUUUACUGGAGAGCGGCGGACGGGUGAGUAACGCGUGGGUAACCUGCCCUAUGGAGGGGGAUAACGUCUGGAAACGGACGCUAAUACCGCAUAAGCUGGCAAGAUCGCAUGAUCAAGUCAGAAAAACUCCGGUGCCAUAGGAUGGACCCGCGUAAGAUUAGCUAGUUGGUAAGGUAAUGGCUUACCAAGGCGACGAUCUUUAGCCGACCUGAGAGGGGGAUC
rnacentral:rRNA from 1 species